CCCUGCGUGGGAACCGAUAGCGCUGGCCUUGUAAGCCAGUGGUCGCGGGUUCAAGUCCCGCCGGCGGCU
rnacentral:tRNA from 1 species